GGGAGCGUGGCGGAAUGGUAGACGCUACGGACUUAAAAUCCGUUGACCUUAAACGGUCGUGGGGGUUCGAGCCCCCCCGCUCCCA
rfam:Anabaena sp. 90 chromosome chANA01, complete sequence.